rnacentral:rRNA from 1 species
GACGAACGCUGGCGGCGUGCUUAACACAUGCAAGUCGAACGGAAAGGCCCUGCUUUUGUUGUGUGCUCGAGUUGCUCACGUGUGAGUAACACGUGAGUCACCUGCCCUUUACUUUGGGAUAACUUCAGGAAACUUGGGCUACUACCGCUUAUUAGCUCCUGCUGCGUGGUGUGGUUUGGAUAGUUUCGGCGGGUGGGGAUGGACUCGCGGCUUAUCAGCUUGUUGGUGGGGUAGUGGCUUACCAAGGCUUUGACGGGUAGCCGGCCUGAGAGGGUGAACGGCCACAUGGGGAAGGAGAUACGGCCAAGACGCAGACGGGAGGCAGGAGUGGGGAAUAGUGCACAAUGGGCGGAAGGCUGAGGCAGGAACGCCGGGUGUGGGAUGACGGACUUCGGGUUGUAAAGCGCAUUCGCCUGUGACGAAGCGUGAGUGACGGUAAUGGGUAAAGAAGCACCGGCUAACUACGUG